rnacentral:lncRNA from 1 species
CGUCAGAGUAAUCUCGGACUAAGAUAAUUAUAACAUAAGUCGCAAUGAAAUGAUAUAAAUUCAGAAAUUAUUGUGUUCAUUUAUUAUUGUGAUUUUUGAAGAAUGGACAUAAUGGUAAGACUGUUCAUUGAGAGAUCAUUAUAUUGUCUUCUAUUCUUUAAUUUCUUUUGACUCACUGCUAAUAAAUCUACCACAUUGUAUGAUUAACAAUGAUAAUAUCACUCAAUAUUUUCUGAAUUUACAGUACCCUGAUUUCAAAGUGAAUUGAAAGCCAUUGAUUUAACUGUUAAAUGAAUCAGAUAUCUUCACUCCUCUAACGUCAUACAAAAACAGGUGUUGUCAAGAUGUUGUCAAUUACGUUGCAUCAAACAAUGGAAAUAGAUAUAACUAGAUCCUUAUAUAUUUUCUACUUUGUUUCUAUUAAAAAGUUCUAUGGGCAUGAGGGUCAAUGAAAUAAAGAAAUAGCAAAUCCAUGAAUGAAAAAAUAUUACACUGAUAAUUAUUUCAAGCACUAAGAUGAAUCAUGUAUUUGUGAACUAAUGUGCUGUUUAGUUACUCUUAUAUUUUUGUAAUUAGUCGAAAGAAAUUCAAGAUUAGAAGAAAAAUAGCUUUUAAAUAUUUAUGUCAAAGGGAUAUAACUCUUUCUCUGUACAAGAAACAAAAUGCUUAUGAAAUGUAAAUGACUUAUAAUAAUAUGAUUUCUUCAUCUGAUAAUUUUGAAUUUCUCUGUGAAAUCCUGACCAUUUUAACAGAACACAAAAAAAUACUGUUUCUGUACAUAGUGCCAAAGAUUUGAGACUUGUAUUUUUUCCUAUUGAAAAUUUUUAUAUGUUAGAAUUUGCUACACUAUAUAGCUAGUUUUGUAUAUAUGCAUGUUUGUUUUUGUAUGAACAAGAUGGUUGUUAUUUUUUUUAACUUUCAGGUUUCUUAUUUCAGAGUUACAGGAAUUUUGCUGUAAAACUUAUAUAAGUGUUGGAAUUGUUGAACAUAACCAGGGGUCGAAAUUGGCGCUGGUCCGGUAGUCCGAGGCCAGUAGAAUUUGUGUCGGACCAGUAGAUUUUAUCAGCUAGUGGACCAGUAGAAAUUUUUCGUUAAAAUCAAUGAUUGCAUCUCUUUCUCUGUUUGUUUACAAAAAAAUAAACAUGAGAAAUUAUUUUUAGGGUAUUGGGGGCGCUAUUUUUGGAAUAAAGAAGAGGAAAGCAGCUGUGGAAAAUAAAACUAAACAUCUGUCAUAUGUUUUAGUGGUUAUCAAAUGAAUGUCAUUUUUGCAGGACCAGUAAAUUUUGAGCCGGACCAGUAGAUCUAUAGUCCACUGGUCCGGCUGGCCAGUACACUAAAAAGCUUAAAUUCGACCCCUGAACAUAACACACUUUUUUUUUUUUAAUUUUCAUAUGUGAGUCUAGAGUUAAAGGGUGUUUUGAUAGAUAUGAUUAAUUUUUUUAAUGUCCUGCACUAGCUCUAUUAUGCUACAUAUCUAAAAGAGUUGAUACAUUUAUUUUCCGUGGGUACCAAUUGUCAUGGAUUGAAGAAAACUGGAACUUUCCUGGAUAUUUGAAUUUGUGUCUGCAGUUAUUCAUAAAGCAAAUUUGAAGUUCAUUGACUAUUUCAAUUCAUUGUUUCCCUGUACCCUCAAAAUCCAAGAAAUUUGGUAUCCAAUGAAUAAUAAUGAAUUCACAGUACUGCUUUUUAACAGUCAAACUUUUAACAGUCAAAUUUGAUGUAAAAUUUAUAAUUUAAUGAUUUUUUAAUCUAAAUAGCAGUUGUAUUUGCCCUUGAUUAACUGAUUUCCAUAUUUAUAAAUCAUUUUAUUUUUGAGCCUUCGACUUUUGUUGAAAAAUCGAGACAUAGCGAUCCUACAUUCUGGCUGCCCCGAUGGCGGUGUCUACAAAUAUUCACUCUAUGGUUAAAGUUUUUGAAAUUUUAAUAACUUUCUUAAACUAACCUGGAUUUAUUCCAAACUUGGACAGAAGCUUGUUUAUGAUCAUAAGUUUAACAUUACAUGCAGCCUGCAGUUUAAGUUUUUAAAAUAUUUAUUAGAUUCAUAAAUUAUCCUGGAUUUUUUACUAAAGUUGGACAGAAGCUUCUUACAAUCAAAAGAUAGUUUCGAGAGGAACAUUUUUUUUUUUUUUUUUCCUCAUUUUUGUUGAGCCUGUGAUUAACAGUAAAAGUAGGGAGACACUGGGUUCUGCAGAACCCUAACAAAUUUUUUCUGUAACAAGUUUAAUAUAGCAAUGACUGCAUCUAUGUGCUCUUGGCACAACUGCCUUUUUAUGCCCUUCUUAUAAUGCCGCACUUAGAUUUUUUAGUCUGAGCAUUUGUUUGUGACUCAGUUCUAUCGACUUUUCCUCUUUAGGUUAAAGUUUAUGACGAAACGCACGUCUGGCGUAUAAAAUUAUUCUUGGUACUUUUGAUAACUAUUUAUGAAUAAAGUUUUUGGCCAAGGUAGUUUUUUUUUAUGAAGUUGAAGUCUAAUCAACUAUUUAGUACUUGUGUUUCCUAUGAUAUGAUCUUUCUAAUUUUAAUUCCAAAUUAAAAGUUUUGAUCCCAAUUACAUGGUCCACUGAACAUAGAAAAUUAGUGUGGAGGAGGCGUCUGUGUUCUACAGACAUAUCCUUGUUUUUUAUUGUAGCAAAAUGUCUUUGUAAUAUAUUGUAAAAAAUGUGAAAAGUUGAAUGUUGAAAAAGAUACUGAGUAGUGUUUUUUUAAAACAAAUUGUGCAAUAUUUAGAUGUUUCUUUUAUACAUUAAGUGUUUGAUGUUAUAUCCAUCAAGUACAAGCUUUCAAGAAAAGCUGAUUAGACAUUGACAUUUCUCUUCAUUUAUCAACUAUUAUCCAUAUAUAUAUAAAUAUAAAUGUAUAUAUGGGGAAUCAUAUCCAAUUUUUAAAUUCAUCUUUUUCAUAGAACUGUAGUUAUUUACAUAAGGUAGCUUAGUGCUGAAAUUAGUCAUAGUGGUAUACAAAUAAAGUUAGAA